rnacentral:rRNA from 1 species
CCCUUAGAGUUUGAUCCUGGCUCAGGAUGAACGCUGGCGGCGUGCCUAAUACAUGCAAGUCGAGCGAACUGAUUAGAAGCUUGCUUCUAUGACGUUAGCGGCGGACGGGUGAGUAACACGUGGGCAACCUGCCUGUAAGACUGGGAUAACUUCGGGAAACCGAAGCUAAUACCGGAUAGGAUCUUCUCCUUCAUGGGAGAUGAUUGAAAGAUGGUUUCGGCUAUCGCUUACAGAUGGGCCCGCGGUGCAUUAGCUAGUUGGUGAGGUAACGGCUCACCAAGGCAACGAUGCAUAGCCGACCUGAGAGGGUGAUCGGCCACACUGGGACUGAGACACGGCCCAGACUCCUACGGGAGGCAGCAGUAGGGAAUCUUCCGCAAUGGACGAAAGUCUGACGGAGCAACGCCGCGUGAGUGAUGAAGGCUUUCGGGUCGUAAAACUCUGUUGUUAGGGAAGAACAAGUACGAGAGUAACUGCUCGUACCUUGACGGUACCUAACCAGAAAGCCACGGCUAACUACGUGCCAGCAGCCGCGGUAAUACGUAGGUGGCAAGCGUUAUCCGGUAUUAUUGGGCGUAAAGCGCGCGCAGGCGGUUUCUUAAGUCUGAUGUGAAAGCCCACGGCUCACCCGUGGAGGGUCAUUGGAAACUGGGGAACUUGAGUGCAGAAGAGAAAAGCGGAAUUCCACGUGUAGCGGUGAAUGCGUAGAGAUGUGGAGGAACACAGUGGCGAAGCGGCUUUUUGGUCUGUAACUGACGCUGAGCGCGAAAGCGUGGGGAGCAACAGAUAGAUACCCUGUAGUC